rnacentral:sRNA from 1 species
CCACCUCCUUCCCCAACAAACACCCAGCAGGACAGGGAGGCUUGGACCAGGACUGACUCUGGGGGAUGAUGGACUGCUGUCAGGUUUUAAAGACAGAACGCACCAGCUUUGUACUUGGACUGGGAGUGAAGAGAAAGGGAAACCUACGAGCUUCGGGAAGAGUGGAGUUGCCAUUUGUUGAAUGAAGUGAGGCACUUUUAUAUUCCCAGAACCUGGCAAAGAAAGUACCUAGUGCACAGUGGACACUCAAAUAUCUGAGAAUCGAGUUUGACUGAAUAAGUUUAUUCAAUCCAGGUAAUUCAAUACAUGGCUUUCCCCUUCCUCUAAAGUCUUCAGUGGUUGUUAAUUCCACAAAGAGGCUUAGACCCAAACCUUAUAUGGCACACAGCAACAAAUCCCGACCUCUCGACAAUCAUUUAGUCCUAAAUGGACAACCUGCCUGAACACACAGAAGGCGACUGAAAGCUGGUAAGCCUAAAGACGCUCACCACCAAAGCCAUGAAGCUGCUCGUUAAGGACACCAUACUCCUGGAAAGGGACGCCGGUGCAAAGUGAACCGGAACAGCCACAAUGGAUUGAAAUGAUAACAUUUGAUGAUAGAUUUUCAGAAUCUGACAAGACAGAACAAGUCCCAUAAUAAAGCAGCAUUAAAAAAAAAAAAAAAGAGGCAGAAAAGCUCCUUUAAGCUGGUGUAAGUCCCUCCUAACACGUUUCCAUGAGAAAUAAGACCCUGCUUGACAAUGUGACAUUUAGCGCACACACACCAUCCCCCAAGGCAUGUUCCUGCCAAUUAGUGAUACUGAGAAAAGAGGCGAAUUGGCUCCUAACUUGUGGUACUUCUCAUACUCCUAUUCUGGGAUUUAGUAAUCCAGCACCUUUGUUCUAGCCUCUUGAAGAACCACGAAGUUAGCAGAAACUCCCUGAAAGCUCAGUUUUCCCAAAUGUCCUACCCUAAAAUAUAGUGCUUUGCUUUUAUUUUAUUUUUUUAAGAAAUGUGCAAACAUCUUUCAGGAACACAUCCUCUAAAACACUCCUGAGGCCUGUGAAUCUCAGGCCAGCCUUGGCUAUAGAAGGAAACUAACUGGGAACACUAAAAACACUUUAGAGAAACUGGCCCUAGUGCACCAAGCAACAGGCGGCACUCUCCUUUUCCCUGCCAGUCAAAGGCCUUGAAGCAACGCAAACAAACGGGUUAAAUGCCAGCCAGGUUCCCGUACCUCCCCGCUCCCUGUGCACAGCGCUAGCCUGACAACACCACGGCCCCUAGCCGCGGGGCUGAACCGAAAGGAACCCGCACCCAACCGACCAACGGUUUGCAGAGGCACGAGCCACCCGGGGUUUCCCCCAACACGGGAAGCGAGUACGAGCCGGGACACCCCGCGACUCCGCUCCAACCGGAGCACGCACGGCCUCCCCCGGGCUCCGCACAGCCGGAGACCGAGGUGCGGGCGGGGAUGCCCCCGGGGAGCGGGAGGCAUAAUUCCAGCAGGACUUACUAAGCCAAGUGGUGUCAAGGAUGGUCUCCAAAGAGCCCGGCCACCUGCUAGUAGCCACCGGUGCUGUGUGGAUCACCUGCCCUGUUCAGGAGUUUGGCAGAAGCAAGAGAGUUGUCAUCUUGGAAGUCAAGGAGUGCCAGGAACAUUCCUUGGAGGGACCAUAGUGUUCAUAGUGGAAAGAUCAUAGUGUGUGCAAUCGGAUGAACCUGGGCUCCAUCCACCUUCUGCCGAAUUCUAAAUUAGUCCUAGCCCCAAGUGAGUGAAACCACGCAGGGCUGAAGAGUCUUGGGGUAUUAAGUCCUGCAGACUCAUUGUGUAUUGUUUUGGUGGCAGGACUUUUGUUUACACCCCCCACACACACAAGAAAAAUGAAAAUCUCCCAGGAUAAAAUAAAAAGGCAUAGCCAUGGA